GAUGAACGCUGGCGGCGUGCCUAAUACAUGCAAGUCGAGCGAACGGACGAGAAGCUUGCUUCUCUGAUGUUAGCGGCGGACGGGUGAGUAACACGUGGAUACCCUACCUAUAAGACUGGGAUAACUUCGGGAAACCGUAGCUAAUACCGGAUGAUAUUUUGAACCGCAUGGUUCAAAAGUGAAAGACGGUCUUUCUGUCACUUAUAGAUGGAUCCGCGCUGCAUUAGCUAGUUGGUAAGGUAACGGCUUACCAAGGCAACGAUGCAUAGCCGACCUGAGAGGGUGAUCGGCCACACUGGAACUGAGACACGGUCCAGACUCCUACGGGAGGCAGCAGUAGGGAAUCUUCCGCAAUGGGCGAAAGCCUGACGGAGCAACGCCGCGUGAGUGAUGAAGGUCUUCGGAUCGUAAAACUCUGUUAUUAGGGAAGAACAUAUGUGUAAGUAACUGUGCACAUCUUGACGGUACCUAAUCAGAAAGCCACGGCUAACUACGUG
rnacentral:rRNA from 1 species